rnacentral:rRNA from 1 species
CGAGUGGCGAACGGGUGAGUAACACGUGGGUGAUCUGCCUUGCACUUCGGGAUAAGCUUGGGAAACUGGGUCUAAUACCGGAUAGGACAGCUGUUUAGUGUCAGUUGUGGAAAGUUUUUCGGUGCAAGAUGAGCUCGCGGCCUAUCAGCUUGUUGGUGGGGUAAUGGCCUACCAAGGCGUCGACGGGUAGCCGGCCUGAGAGGGUGGACGGCCACAUUGGGACUGAGAUACGGCCCAG